ACUCUUGGGUUUUGAAAUGCCAGGGCAACAUCAGGAUUCGCCAUGAUUUUUGAGAUUACUUCAUCGGGUGUAAGGCCAAUUUGGGCAAAUUGCUGCUUAACCUCAGGACUGUUGAGAUCAAAAUUUUUUCAAGGAUUCCAUCAUCCGGUUAUCCCAUUCACCACUUCCACUCAUAUUAUUCAUUUGAAAGUAGCAGGGUUCCUCAUCUCCUCCGGUAAAUAUCUGAAAGGAUAUCAACAAAAUUAAACUAAAGAAAACAAGAAGUGCAGGCGGCCAACUUAAGAAAAAUCAAAACAAUUUCACCUUAUUCACACAAACAAAGAAGAGAUAAGCCCAAAGAAUCAGAAUAUAACUAAUAGCAAUGACAAGACUCCUAGCCAAACAGGGAACAUAAGAAAAACAGCACAUCAUCACAAAGGACAAUCAAACUAGAAAAGCACAAAAAGUUUCAACAUAAAAAAAGAUCUAUUACGGAUAAACCAUCUUCUGAACUGUUGGAUCUUCCAUCAUUUUCUCCAGAGCUUGCACGGAUAAGCGAGGACCUGCUUUACCAAUCCAUGAACAAAUAUGAAAUCAUAUAGGAUUCUCUUAAAUAUCAAAAAAAUUCCGCUGGAAAGUAAAGGCAAUAAAUGACAAUCAAGCAUAAGAGUGUCAAUAAAGAUAAAGAAGGAAGCAAAAGGAGAUCAAAAUUAAAAUAAAAUUCCACCUGAAAUCAAACUGAAGCUAUAACACCUCCUAACAGAUAUGAAAGUAAAAUUGCACCAUAUCAUUUUAUGAGAAUGAUUUAAAUUCAAGAGCCUAUAAAUCAUGAUCUAGAUUGAUGAGUCACUGGGUUGAUAGGAAUAACUACCCAAAGUGCACAGAAAUGAAUGCAGAUGCACAUAAAAUGAUCUUAUGUCUGCAUGCACCCACAUCAAGUGAUGAGAUUUCAUGAAUAAAUUUGAAUUACAAAGCAGUAAUAUUCCUGAAAUGGCCACUCACUUCCUGAAUGAUUUUUAAUAUCAUUAAAAAAACAGGUACCCUUUAUCAUCUUCUCCAUAUAAGAAAACUUUUAAGGUGUAGAUCCCUAUUUAGUAAAUAACAAGAUCAGACUGAUGUUUGAUCUAGGAAGAAGAAAACUCACUGGAUAAGUGUA
rnacentral:misc_RNA from 1 species